rnacentral:rRNA from 1 species
AUGUGGCUCGCCAACCUUGACCGGUGCUGGACGACCGAGAGGUUGUCUAAGCGAGGUUUGGACCACCCUCCACGGUGCGUUCUCCAUGACCAGGAUCCCAAUGACAUUCACCAUCUACUUGUUGCUUGCGCCUUCUCGAGGGAGAUUUGGCACCACACUAUCGUUUGGUGGAAACUCACCAUCUGCCCACCUGACGGCAACCUCACCCUCUACGAUUGGUGGCGAGACGCAACCAUCUCCGCCCCCUCUUUGCUCUGUAGAGCGCUUGCGUCGAUCAUCCCAUUGGUCGCUUGGGCCAUUUGGAAGCACCUCAACGCAUGCAUCUUCAACCAAUGACAACCCUCGAUUAGCUACCUAUUCUCCUCGAUUCAAGACGAUGUGCGCACUUGGGGGAAUGCCGGCGUGAGAGGUCUACAAGAUGUAAUCGACGCGCUGUAA